ensembl:lncRNA
CAUCCUAAUGCUUGGUGUGUUUACCAAAACACACUGUCCCUAAUGCUUGUAAUAAACACUAGAUAUUCAGAGGUAAUAAUUUAUUACAUUUAAUUCAGUAGAAUGUGAAAUCAGUAUUGACCACAUCAAGCAUUUUACACAGGUUUCUGUAAUGUCAACCUAGAAUGAAUUCUCAGUUGUAUGUUUUACCUUUUCUGCUGACUGGUUUACAAUGGAUGACUGCAACUGUGUCAUUGAAUAUUGCAUAAAGAACAAAUAAGGUGUAAGGCAGAAACAAAUAUCACCUAAUACUAAUGACUACUGCAAACAUAUUGUACGCAUUACGUUCCUGAGGUAGAGAGAGACUCAACACCACUACAAAAUUAGACGGUUCAAUUGUUAUGAAUAUUGCUAUGACAAUCCAAUUUUAAUUUCAGUUUAGUUACAUGUUUAAUGUUUGUCUGAAAAUACUUUACAUUGAUCCAAGUAUUACACUUUUUAAAAAGUUUACAUUUCAAGACUGUUAUGAGGCACAGACAGUAGCAUCCAGGUCAGGGGUUAGGUAGUGUCAGGGGGUAGGUAGGGUCAGGGGGUAGGCAGGGUCAGGGGGUAGGUAGGGUCAGGGGUUAGGUAGGGUCAGGGGUUAGGUAGGGUCAGGGGGUAGGCAGGGUCAGGGUGUAGGCAGGGUCAGGGGUUAGGUAGGGUCAGGGGGUAGGUAGGGUCAGGGGUUAGGGGUUAGGCAGGGUCAGGGGUUAGGUAGGGUAAGUGGGUAGGGUAAGUGGGUAGGCAGAGUCAGGGGGUGGGCAGGGUCAGGGGUUAGGUAGGGUCAGGGGGUAGACAGGAUAAAGAGGGGUAUAUAUCUGUGCAGCAGGCGAGGCCAGUGUCAGGGUGUAGGUAAGGUCAUAGGUGAGGCUCCUUCUUCAUCAGGAGACUCCUGUCCUGGCAGCCUCAAGUCCUGACAGACUCCUGUCCUUCCUGGCAGACCGCUGUCCUUCCUGGCAGACCUCUGUCCUUCCUGACAGACCGCUGUCCUUCCUGGCAGACCGCUGUCCUUCCUGGCAGACUGCUGUCCUUCCUGGCAGACUGCUGUCCUUCCUGGCAGACUGCUGUCCUUCCUGGCAGACUGCUGUCCUUCCUGGCAGACUCCCUCCCAUUCACCCCCCAGACACCUUUCUGUUUCUACUGUUCCCAAAGAAAAUGUUCUUCCCAUUGUUGUUGUUCCCAAUUUUGAAAAGAUUUGGUUUCAGAUCCUCAAAAAAAUGUAUCCAGCUGCAUCAUUGAGAGCAUCUUGACUGACUGCAUCACUGCUUGGUACGGUAAGUGCAUCACUGUCGACCGCAUGGCGCUACAGAUGGUGGUGCGGACAGCCCAGUACAGCACUGGGGUCGAGUUCCUUUCCAUUCAGUACCUCCAUAUCAAAACGGUGGGAAAGGAAGACAUGGAAAUAUGUCUAAGACUCAAGCAACUGUUCUCUCUGCUACCGAAUGGCAAGAGGUACCGGAGCACCAAGUCUGAUACCAACAGGCUCCUGAACAGCUUCUACCCCCAAGCCAUCAGACUGCUGAACAGCUUCUACCUCCAAGCCAUCAGACUGCUGAACAGCUUCUACCCCAAAGCCAUCAGACUGCUGAACAGCUUCUACCCCCAAGCCAUCAGACUGCUGAACAGCUUCUAUCCCGAAGCCAUCAGACUGCUGAACAGCUUCUAUCCCCAACCCAUCAGACUGCUAAACAGCUUCUACCCCCAAGUCAUCAGACUGCUGAA